UACAGAGGUGGCAAGCGUUGUUCGGAUUUACUGGGCGUAAAGGGUGCGUAGGUGGUCGCUUAUGUCGGGUGUGAAAGCCCACGGCUUAACCGUGGAAUGGCAUUCGAAACUGGGUGACUUGAGUGCAGGAGGGGAGAGCGGAAUUCUUGGUGUAGCGGUGAAAUGCGUUGAUAUCAAGAAGAACACCGGUGGCGAAGGCGGCUCUCUGGAAUGCUACUGACACUGAGGCACGAAAGCUGGGGGAGCAAACAGG
rnacentral:rRNA from 1 species